rnacentral:rRNA from 1 species
UACAUAUGGGGCAAGCGUUGUUCGGAAUUACUGGGCAUAGAGGGUGCGUAGGUGGUCUAUUAAGUCAGGGGUGAAAUCCCCGCGGCCCAACCGUGGAACUGCCUUUGAUACUGGUGGACUUGAGUGCGUGAGGGGUAGGGGGAACGAGCAGUGUAGCGGUGAAAUGCUUAGAUAUGACAUAGAACACCAAUUGCGAAGGCAGCUGGCUACACGAAUAUUGACACUGAUGCACGAAAGCGUGGGGAUCAAACAGGA